rnacentral:tRNA from 1 species
GAGGCGUUAGUAAAACAAUUACAUGACCUUGUCAAGGUCAAGUCACGGGCGAAAACCCCGUACACCUCC